rnacentral:rRNA from 1 species
UAUGUGAUCGUCUCUCGCAUAUCAAUAAGCGGAGGAAAAGAAACUAACAAGGAUUCCCCUAGUAACGGCGAGUGAAGCGGGAAGAGCUCAAAUUUGAAAUCUUAAAGGGUUUCCCUUUACGAAUUGUAGUUUAAAGAAGUGUUUUCUGUUGAGGUUUUGGUAAAAGUUCUUUGGAAUAGGACAUCAUAGAGGGUGAGAAUCCCGUAUUUGACCUUUACUUUCAACUUUGUGAUACACUUUCAAAGAGUCGGAUUGUUUGGGAAUGCAGUCCAAAAUGGGUGGUAAAUUUCAUCUAAAGCUAAAUAUUGGCGAGAGACCGAUAGCGAACAAGUACCGUGAGGGAAAGAUGAAAAGAACUUUGAAAAGAGAGUUAAACAGUACGUGAAAUUGUCAAAAGGGAAGCGUUUGACACCAGUGUUGUUUUUCUGAAAAUCAAUUAAAGAACUGUUUAUGCUAAGUUGUUUAGACUUUAUCAGCUAACUGUUUAGUUUUGAGCUUUUCUCUAAUGCACUUUUCAGUUAACAAGUCAACAUCAAUUUCUUUUGCUGUAAAAAAGCUUGAGGAAGGUGGCUUGAGAUUCGUCUUAAGUGUUUAUAGCCUCUUGCCUAUGCAGUCGGAGAGAUUGAGGUCUGCAGCGUAGAUCCUUCGGGGCUAAAUGCAUUUGUGCUAAGUUAUAACAUUUUAUAGACAACUUGUUGACUAUGAUUUGUCUUGUAGCUUACUCGCUUAUGUUAUUUUACCUACGCUUAGGAUGUUGAGUAGCGACAUACGCAC